GACCCCGUAGCUCAGUUGGAUAGAGCGGCGGUUUCCUAAACCGCAGGCCACAGGUUCGAUUCCUGUCGGGGUCGCUA
rnacentral:tRNA from 1 species